AGAGUUUGAUCCUGGCUCAGAUUGAACGCUGGCGGAAUGCUUUACACAUGCAAGUCGAACGGCAGCACGGGAGCUUGCUCCUGGUGGCGAGUGGCGAACGGGUGAGUAACAUAUCGGAACAUAUCCUAUCGUGGGGGAUAACUAGUCGAAAGACUAGCUAAUACCGCAUACGUCCUGAGGGAGAAAGCGGGGGCUCGCAAGACCUCGCGCGAUUGGAGUGGCCGAUAUCUGAUUAGCUAGAUGGUGAGGUAAAAGCUCACCAUGGCGACGAUCAGUAGCUGGUCUGAGGGGAUGAUCAGCCACACUGGGACUGAGACACGGCCCAGACUCCUACGGGAGGCAGCAGUGGGGAAUUUUGGACAAUGGGCGAAAGCCUGAUCCAGCCAUUCCGCGUGAGUGAAGAAGGCCUUCGGG
rnacentral:rRNA from 1 species